UACGAGUAUACCAUGGUUACCUGAGUGUAUUUUGGUAACCUCAGGAUACUCGUUCC
rnacentral:pre_miRNA from 1 species